UAAAUACUCGAUUUUAUCAAUUUGAUAGAUGACGGGUUCUUAGAGGGACAUGUAGCAUUAAGCUACAGGAAGAUGGGGGCGAUAACAGGUCUGUGAUGCCCUUAGAUGUUCUGAACCGCACGCGUGUUACAAUGAUAUGCUCAGAGAGCUGCUCCUUGCCCGAGAGGUCAUGGGAAAUCUUUUAAACCAUAUCGUGAAAGGGAUUGAUUGCUGCAA
rnacentral:rRNA from 1 species